rnacentral:rRNA from 1 species
GUGGGGAAUCUUGCGCAAUGGGCGAAAGCCUGACGCAGCCAUGCCGCGUGAAUGAUGAAGGUCUUAGGAUUGUAAAAUUCUUUCACCGGGGACGAUAAUGACGGUACCCGGAGAAGAAGCUCCGGCUAACUCCGUGCCAGCAGCCGCGGUAAUACGGAGGGUGCAAGCGUUAUCCGGAUUCACUGGGUUUAAAGGGUGCGUAGGCGGGUUGAUAAGUCAGUGGUGAAAGCUCCGGGCUUAACUUGGAAACUGCCAUUGAUACUGUCAAUCUUGAAUGUCGUAGAGGUAAGCGGAAUGUUGCAUGUAGUGGUGAAAUGCUUAGAUAUGUUACAGAACACCAAUUGCGAAGGCAGCUUACUAUGCGAUAAUUGACGCUGAGGCACGAAAGCGUGGGGAGCAAACAGGAUUAGAAACCCUGGUAGUCC